rnacentral:rRNA from 1 species
UGAGGAAUAUUGGUCAAUGGACGCAAGUCUGAACCAGCCAAGUAGCGUGCAGGAUGACGGCCCUAUGGGUUGUAAACUGCUUUUAUAUAGGGAUAAAGUGGGGAACGUGUUCCCUUUUGCAGGUACCAUAUGAAUAAGGACCGGCUAAUUCCGUGCCAGCAGCCGCGGUAAUACGGAAGGUUCGGGCGUUAUCCGGAUUUAUUGGGUUUAAAGGGAGCGUAGGCCGUUUGGUAAGCGUGUUGUGAAAUGUAGGAGCUCAACUUCUAGAUUGCAGCGCGAACUGUCAGACUUGAGUGCGCACAACGUAGGCGGAAUUCAUGGUGUAGCGGUGAAAUGCUUAGAUAUCAUGAAGAACUCCGAUUGCGAAGGCAGCUUACGGGAGCGCAACUGACGCUGAAGCUCGAAGGUGCGGGUAUCGAACAGG